UGUAAGCGGUAAGAGUCAAAACAGAGCACUAAACAUGUAGAUCUGCCCGGCAAAGGCUUGCGGACGCGGGUUCAAUUCCCGCCAGCUCCACCAUCCAAGACACCGCCACACACUGAAAAGCUUAGUGUGCGGCGGUUUUUUCUUGCCGCCUAGGGCUGUGUGGUGUCGCCAAAUUCGUACCGAUUUCACACGGGAAUCGCGCGGAUCAUUUCCCGUCGACAGGACGCAGUUCGACCUUUGGUUUCUGGUAGUCCUCGCGAAUGAACUUGCCAUAUGUGCGAAACACCAUCUCCACGUCCUCAUGCCUCAGUUGCUGAGGCCAUGUACCGGGGGGUGGCCCCGGCAGUGAGUAGGGUGGAAGCAUAGGUGUGCCGGAUUUGGUAUGGGUUCCGGUACGGUACGCAGGCCCUGGCCAUGAUUGAUAGCCAGGCCGUUUUGCGCACCUGGGUGUCAGUGC
rnacentral:tmRNA from 1 species